ACACACACACCGUACGCUGGGAAAAGGGCUAUAAGGUGUCGUUUCAAGGUGAUGUUAGAAGCUGAGUAGAGCCAGCGGUGUCUAAUAAUUGUACUUCACUGUUGGUGUCAGAUCGAGAGGGGAUCGACCACCUGUACCGGCAUUGCUUGCUUCCAUCACAGUUUACUACGAUGACUUCAGCGUGUUUGCGAAUUGUUGCUGACGUAUCGUUGCGACUCUUGCCUUGUCAUCGCCUGACGAAUAAACAUCAUAAAAAGGUGUCUCUCCCCAAUACACGAGCAUCUUGCCAAACCAAUCGUAACAAUUAUGUAAGUUUCUAACAACAAAACCCAAACACACACACAAUGCCGGUUUUUACUCGGCCACACAAUAGGAAAACCACACCAUCAACAUCCCAAUGGUUGCGGAGAUCUUUCGCUCGCUCCCCUCGCUAGUUACAGCCACCCGAAGACGACGCCACCAAAACUUACGUCAAAAUCUAACAUCGUUCCCUCCUGUGUCUCUGCUGCUUUCCAACGCAAAACGGAGCUCGAUCGUGCUCUGUCCGACCGGGACACUGGACCGCCGAAACUGAUGCGGAGAUCGAUUGAACUCUCCCUAAUUGCGGGUUUCGUCUCAGCCACACACACACACAAUGAAACAGCACAACAGCACCGAGCACCGUGUGCGAGAGGCGUUUGCCGGCUACUGAUAGAUUUAACGUACGGGCCGGGGCACAAAAGCUCUCAUCAUCACCAUCUACAACCCCGUUACGGGUAGAGGGGUUCGAAGUUGCCGAAUGUAACGGAGACACAUAUGCCCCGUACGCAAACACUCCUCCAUCGAGCACAUCGUUUGGUGCUGGAACAGGGGUGGAAUGGAAAGUGUAUAAGGCUUUCCGGUUCGCAGGGUUUUAGGUGAUUAACGCGUCGUGGCGCGCCCGUAUCUUAAUUCAUUU